rnacentral:rRNA from 1 species
UACGGGGGGGGUAAGCGUUGUUCGGAAUUACUGGGCGUAAAGGGCUCGUAGGCGGCCAACUAAGUCGGACGUGAAAUCCCUCGGCUCAACCGAGGAACUGCGUCUGAUACUGGAUGGCUUGAAUCCGGGAGAGGGAUGUGGAAUUCCAGGUGUAGCGGUGAAAUGCGUAGAUAUCUGGAGGAACACCGGUGGCGAAGGCGGCAUCCUGGACCGGUAUUGACGCUGAGGAGCGAAAGCCAGGGGAGCAAACGGG